GGGAAGGUAGCUCAGUGGUAGAGCGCUUGCUUUGCAUGCGUGAGGCCCUGGGUUCGAUUCCUCAGCACCA
rnacentral:tRNA from 1 species